GGAGAAGUACCCAAGAGGCCGAAGGGGCUCCCCUGCUAAGGGAGUAGACGGAGUGAAUCCGUGCGAGAGUUCAAAUCUCUCCUUCUCCGCCA
rnacentral:tRNA from 1 species